GAUGAAACAACAAAAUGAUGCAAGGAAAAUGUAAGAGUUUUGAAAACUGCUAGUGUAAUAUUUUUAAUAAAACUGAACUUGAAAUGAUCUAGGUGUGCAAUAACAUCAGAACUUGCAUUUGGAUAUUAGAAAGCAUACACUUGCAAAUUUAUCUGAACCGAAAUGAAGCUGCCUGCUGUUGUUGUUCUGAUGACUGUUUUGGUGAUUGUUUCAGAUUCUAUAGUUCAAGUGAAAGCUGAAUGUACUCAAGGAUGCCCAUUGUCCCCAAAACAAUGUUUAAGUUGUUGCAUUAGCGAAGGCCAUGGAUAUGGUUCCUGUCAUAAUAUUUUCUUUUGCCAAUGCGGUGAUUGAAAAUAGUAAAAUAAUUAUCUAUUCAAAUGAGAAUGGAAUAUGAAAGAAUAAUAAAAUAAUUGA